CGGUCCAGACUCCUACGGGAGGCAGCAGUAGGGAAUCUUCCGCAAUGGGCGAAAGCCUGACGGAGCAACGCCGCGUGAGUGAUGAAGGUCUUCGGAUCGUAAAACUCUGUUAUUAGGGAAGAACAUAUGUGUAAGUAACUGUGCACAUCUUGACGGUACCUAAUUAGAAAGCCACGGCUAACUACGUGCCAGCAGCCGCGGUAA
rnacentral:rRNA from 1 species